GUAAGUCGAACGCGAAAGUUUCUUCGGAAACAAGUAGAGUGGCGGACGGGUGAGUAACGCGUAGGAAUCUACCUAAGUGUGGGGGAUAACAUGAAGAAAUUCAUGCUAAUACCGCAUACGCCCCACGGGGUAAAGAGGGCCUCUUCUUGAAAGCUCUUGCAUUUAGAUGAGCCUGCGUAAGAUUAGCUUGUUGGCGGGGUAAUGGCCCACCAAGGCGACGAUCCGUAGCUGGUCUGAGAGGAUGAUC
rnacentral:rRNA from 1 species